rnacentral:rRNA from 1 species
UACAGGGGGUGCAAACGUUGCUCGGAAUUAUUGGGCGUAAAGCGUCCGUAGGCGGCCCGGUAAGUCCGCUGUGAAAGUCCAGGGCUCAACCCUGGGAUGCCGGUGGAUACUGUCGGGCUCGAGUCCGGAAGAGGAGUGUGGAAUUCCUGGUGUAGCGGCGAAAUGCGCAGAUAUCAGGAGGAACACCAAUGGCGAAGGCAGCACUCUGGGACGUGACUGACGCUGAGACGCGAAAGCGUGGGGAGCAAACAGG